CUGAGGAUAGCUCAGUUGGCAGAGUAUGAGAAACUUAAUCUCAGUCAUGGGUUUGAGCCCCAUUUGGCCAGA